rnacentral:tRNA from 1 species
UGGGAUAGCUCAGUCCGUAGAGCAUGAGACUUUCUUAAUCUCAGGGUCGUGGGUUCAAGCACCGCAUUGGGCAAAA